rnacentral:rRNA from 1 species
GACGAACGCUGGCGGCGUGCUUAACACAUGCAAGUCACGGGGGUCCCGGGGGCAACCUUGGGAUAACCGGCGAACGGGUGCGUAACACGUGACCAACCUGCCCUCGUGUGGGGGAUAGCC